GAUGAACGCUGGCGGCGUGCCUAAUACAUGCAGGUCGAGCGAACAGACGAGGAGCUUGCUCCUCUGACGUUAGCGGCGGACGGGUGAGUAACACGUGGAUAACCUACCUAUAAGACUGGGAUAACUUCGGGAAACCGGAGUUAAUACCGGAUAAUAUAUUGAACCGCAUGGUUCAAUAGUGAAAGACGGUUUUGCUGUCACUUAUAGAUGGAUCCGCGCCGCAUUAGCUAGUUGGUAAGGUAACGGCUUACCAAGGCAACGAUGCGUAGCCGACCUGAGAGGGUGAUCGGCCACACUGGAACUGAGACACGGUCCAGACUCCUACGGGAGGCAGCAGUAGGGAAUCUUCCGCAAUGGGCGAAAGCCUGACGGAGCAACGCCGCGUGAGUGAUGAAGGUCUUCGGAUCGUAAAACUCUGUUAUUAGGGAAGAACAAAUGUGUAAGUAACUAUGCACGUCUUGACGGUACCUAAUCAGAAAGCCACGGCUAACUACGUG
rnacentral:rRNA from 1 species